rnacentral:rRNA from 1 species
ACACGUCAUACAAUGGUCGGGACAGAGGGUCGCCAACCCGCGAGGGGGAGCCAAUCCCAGAAACCCGAUCGUAGUCCGGAUCGCAGUCUGCAACUCGACUGCGUGAAGUCGGAAUCGCUAGUAAUCGCGGAUCAGCAUGUCGCGGUGAAUACGUUCCCGGGUCUUGUACACACCGCCCGUCACACCAUGGGAGUGGGUUUUACCA